CUUGCUUCCUCGGGCGUCGACCGGCGCACGGGUGAGUAACGCGUAUCCAACCUGCCUCUGACUGAGGGAUAACCCGUCGAAAGUCGGCCUAAUACCUCAUGGCAUCGUCUGCGGGCAUCCAACGACGAUUAAAGAUUUCAUCGGUCAGGGAUGGGGAUGCGUCUGAUUAGCUUGUUGGCGGGGUAACGGCCCACCAAGGCUACGAUCAGUAGGGGUUCUGAGAGGAAGGUCCCCCACAUUGGAACUGAGACACGGUCCAAACUCCUACGGGAGGCAGCAGUGAGGAAUAUUGGUCAAUGGGCGGGAGCCUGAACCAGCCAAGUAGCGUGCAGGAUGACGGCCCUAUGGGUUGUAAACUGCUUUUAUGCGGGGAUAAAGUGAGGGACGUGUCCUUCAUUGCAGGUACCGCAUGAAUAAGGACCGGCUAAUUCCGUGCCAGCAGCCGCGGUAAUACGGAAGGUCCGGGCGUUAUCCGGAUUUAUUGGGUUUAAAGGGAGCGUAGGCCGUGGAUUAAGCGUGUUGUGAAAUGCAGGUGCUCAACGUCUGCACUGCAGCGCGAACUGGUCCACUUGAGUGUGCGCAACGCANGCGGAAUUCGUCGUGUAGCGGUGAAAUGCUUAGAUAUGACGAAGAACUCCGAUUGCGAAGGCAGCUUGCGGGA
rnacentral:rRNA from 1 species